GUCCACACCGUAAACGAUGGAUACUAGGUGUAGGGUGUGAUAAACGCUCUGUGCCGUCGCAAACGCAGUAAGUAUCCCACCUGGGGAGUACGGCCGCAAAGGUUGAAACUCAAAGGAAUUGACGGGGGCCCCGCACAAGCAGUGGAGUAUGUGGUUUAAUUCGACGCAACGCGAAGAACCUUACCAGGGCUUGACAUAUACAGGAUAUGCUAGAGAUAGUAUAGCUCUUCGGAGUCUGUAUACAGGUGGUGCAUGGUUGUCGU
rnacentral:rRNA from 1 species